rnacentral:misc_RNA from 1 species
UCCGGUUUAUCACCGGCAGUUUCCUUAUAGUUCCCGGCCGAGCCGCUGGCAAAUAAGGAUGAGGGUUUCGCUCGUUGCGGGACUUAACCCAACAUCUCACGACACGAGCUGACGACAGCCAUGCAACACCUGUGUGUGGUCCAGCCGAACUGAAAGUCUCAUCUCUGAGACCGACGACCACCAUGUCAAGGGUUGGUAAGGUUUUUCGCGUAGCAUCGAAUUAAACCGCAUGCUCCACCACUUGUGCGAGCCCCCGUCAAUUCCUUUGAGUUUUAAUCUUGCGAUCGUACUCCCCAGGCGGAGUGCUUAAUGUGUUAACUGCGAAACCGAAAAAUAAAUUUCCCGAUAUCUAGCACUCAUCGUUUACGGCGUGGACUAC